rnacentral:rRNA from 1 species
CAGUAGCCGCGGUAAUACAGAGGGUGCGAGCGUUAAUCGGAUUUACUGGGCGUAAAGCGUGCGUAGGCGGCUUUUUAAGUCGGAUGUGAAAUCCCUAAGCUUAACUUAGGAAUUGCAUUCGAUACUGGGAAGCUAGAGUAUGGGAGAGGAUGGUAGAAUUCCAGGUGUAGCGGUGAAAUGCGUAGAGAUCUGGAGGAAUACCGAUGGCGAAGGCAGCCAUCUGGCCUAAUACUGACGCUGAGGUACGAAAGCAUGGGGAGCAAACAGGAUUAGAUACCCCCGUAGUCCCUGUCUCUUAUAC